rnacentral:lncRNA from 1 species
AUUCUAAAUAAAGAGAAGCCAUACUUUGGACUAAUGAUCAUGGGAUUGCGUGUUGACUUACUAUCAUCUAACUUUACAAAAUUUAUUUUUAUUAACAAACUUUAUAUUGGCUAGUAGAUCUUUUUCUUUUUUUUUUUAAAGACUUGUUGUGUUACUAUUCAUGGCUUUAAUAAGGGAAUGUUAUAAUGGACAUCGGAGGAAUAGGGAGACUAAAAUUAAUUUUGAAGGG